rnacentral:rRNA from 1 species
CUGCCCUACGGGACGCAGCAGUAGGGAAUCUUCCACAAUGGGCGAAACCCUGAACCAGCAACGCCGCGUGAGGGAAGACGGUUUUCGGAUUGUAAACCUCUGUCCUCUGUGAAGAUAAUGACGGUAGCAGAGGAGGAAGCUCCGGCUAACUACGUGCCAGCAGCCGCGGUAAUACGUAGGGAGCGAGCGUUGUCCGGAUUUACUGGGUGUAAAGGGUGCGUAGGCGGGUAAGCAAGUCAGAAGUGAAAUCCAUGGGCUUAACCCAUGAACUGCUUUUGAAACUGUUUAUCUUGAGUGAAGUAGAG